rnacentral:rRNA from 1 species
AUUGAACGCUGGCGGCAGGCCUAACACAUGCAAGUCGAGCGGAUGAAGGGAGCUUGCUCCUGGAUUCAGCGGCGGACGGGUGAGUAAUGCCUAGGAAUCUGCCUGGUAGUGGGGGAUAACGUCCGGAAACGGGCGCUAAUACCGCAUACGUCCUGAUGGAGAAAGUGGGGGAUCUUCGGACCUCACGCUAUCAGAUGAGCCUAGGCCGGAUUAGCUAGUUGGUGGGGUAAAGGCCUGCCAAGGCGACGAUCCGUAACUGGUCUGAGAGGAUGAUCAGUCACACUGGAACUGAGACACGGUCCAGACUCCUACGGGAGGCAGCAGUGGGGAAUAUUGGGCAAUGGGCGAAAGCCUGAUCCAGCCAUGCCGCGUGUGUGAAGAAGGUCUUCGGAUUGUAAAGCACUUUAAGUUGGGAGGAAGGGCAGUAAGUUAAUACCUUGCUGUUUUGACGGUACCAACAGAAUAAGCACCGGCUAACUUCGUG